rnacentral:rRNA from 1 species
UGCGUAGGCGGAAUAUUAAGUCAGUGGUGAUAUCCUGCAGCUCAACUGUAGAAUUGCCAUUGAUACUGUUAUUCUUGAGUAUAGUUGAGGUGGGCGGAAUGUAUCAUGUAGCGGUGAAAUGCUUAGAUAUGAUACAGAACACCGAUUGCGUAGGCAGCUCACUAAACUAUUACUGACGCUGAGGCACGAAAGCGUGGGGAGCGAACAGGAUUAGAUACCCUGGUAGUCC